rnacentral:rRNA from 1 species
CGAUGCUUCAUUCAAAUAUCUGCCCUAUCAACUUUCGAUGGUAGGAUAGAGGCUACCAUGGUUUCAACGGGUACGGGGAAUAAGGGUUCGAUUCCGGAGAGGGAGCCUGAGAAACGGUACCACAUACCAAGGCAAGGCAGCAGGCGCGCAAAUUUACCCAAUCCCGACACGGGGAGGUAGUGACAAUAAAUAACAAUAUAGGGCUCUUACGGGUCUUAUGAUUGGACAUGAGUACAAUUUAAAUCUCUUACCGAGGAACAAUUGGAGGGCAAGUCUGGUGCCAAGCAGCCGCGGUAAUUCCAAGCUCCCAAUAGCGUAUAUUUCAAAGUUGUAGCAGUUAAAAGGAGCUCAGUAGUUGAACUUCAGACCUGGUCG